GAUGAACGCUAGCUACAGGCUUAACACAUGCAAGUCGAGGGGAAACGAUAGAGAAAGCUUGCUUUUUCUAGGCGUCGACCGGCGCACGGGUGAGUAACGCGUAUCCAACCUGCCCACCACUUGGGGAUAACCUUGCGAAAGUAAGACUAAUACCCAAUGACGUCCAUAGAAGACAUCUGAAAUGGAUUAAAGAUUUAUCGGUGAUGGAUGGGGAUGCGUCUGAUUAGCUUGUUGGCGGGGUAACGGCCCACCAAGGCGACGAUCAGUAGGGGUUCUGAGAGGAAGGGCCCCCACAUUGGAAUCGAGACACGGUCCAAACUCCUACGGGAGGCAGCAGUGAGGAAUAUUGGUCAAUGGUGGAGAGCCUGAACCAGCCAAGUAGCGUGCAGUAUGACGGCCCUAUGGGUUGUAAACUGCUUUUAUAAGGGAAUAAAGUGAGUCUCGUGAGACUUUUUGCACGUACCUUAUGAAUAAGGACCGGCUAAUUCCGUGCCAGCCGCCGCCGUAA
rnacentral:rRNA from 1 species